AUCAGUUCAAGUAGCCAAACGUCCGGCAAAUGGUUAAAGGAAAGCCGUGAGGCUCUCUGAACAUCCCCGGAGUGACUAUGCUGACAUUAGUAGCUUCAAGUCCCAAGGACGGCCGAAAACCCUAGGUUUUCUGCAAAUGGCUAAACCGCGCAGAGUGAUACGGCCCCUCAGAAGAUUUCUGCAACGAACUCUUUAAGGGGCUCGCAACUCCACGAUCUAAAUUCGUUGUUUAACUUUUCCAUUCUUUUCCAAACCCCGUUGGGAUUUGAAACUACGUUUGAGUUUCAAACCACUUUCGUGGUUUGGUUUUGCAAUGCAAAACAACCACCGGUUUCUCUUGUUAGCCCUCCUUCUAGCUUGAUCAUUUUCUUCAAGGGACACAAGGGGCUAACAAAAAAACCCCACGA
rnacentral:rRNA from 1 species